CGGAGGGAUCAUUACCGAGUUUACAACUCCCAAACCCCUGUGAACAUACCACUUGUUGCCUCGGCGGAUCAGCCCGCUCCCGGUAAAACGGGACGGCCCGCCAGAGGACCCCUAAACUCUGUUUCUAUAUGUAACUUCUGAGUAAAACCAUAAAUAAAUCAAAACUUUCAACAACGGAUCUCUUGGUUCUGGCAUCGAUGAAGAACGCAGCAAAAUGCGAUAAGUAAUGUGAAUUGCAGAAUUCAGUGAAUCAUCGAAUCUUUGAACGCACAUUGCGCCCGCCAGUAUUCUGGCGGGCAUGCCUGUUCGAGCGUCAUUUCAACCCUCAAGCACAGCUUGGUGUUGGGACUCGCGUUAAUUCGCGUUCCCCAAAUUGAUUGGCGGUCACGUCGAGCUUCCAUAGCGUAGUAGUAAAACCCUCGUUACUGGUAAUCGUCGCGGCCACGCCGUUAAACCCCAACUUCUGAAUGUUGACCUCGGAUCAGGUAGGAAUACCCGCUGAACUUAAGCAUAUCAAUAAGCGGAGGAAAAGAAACCAACAGGGAUUGCCCUAGUAACGGCGAGUGAAGCGGCAACAGCUCAAAUUUGAAAUCUGGCUCUCGGGCCCGAGUUGUAAUUUGUAGAGGAUACUUUUGAUGCGGUGCCUUCCGAGUUCCCUGGAACGGGACGCCAUAGAGGGUGAGAGCCCCGUCUGGUUGGAUGCCAAAUCUCUGUAAAGUUCCUUCAACGAGUCGAGUAGUUUGGGAAUGCUGCUCUAAUGGGAGG
rnacentral:rRNA from 1 species